rnacentral:rRNA from 1 species
GACGAACGCUGGCGGCGUGCUUAACACAUGCAAGUCGAACGGAAAGGCCCUGCUUUUGUGGGGUGCUCGAGUGGCGAACGGGUGAGUAACACGUGAGUAACCUGCCCUUGACUUUGGGAUAACUUCAGGAAACUGGGGCUAAUACCGGAUAGGAGCUCCUGCUGCAUGGUGGGCGUUGGAAAGUUUCGGCGGUUGGGGCUGGACUCGCGGCUUAUCAGCUUGUUGGUGGGGUAGUGGCUUACCAAGGCUUUGACGGGUAGCCGGCCUGAGAGGGUGACCGGCCACAUUGGGACUGAGAUACGGACCAGACUCCUACGGGAGGCAGCAGUGGGGAAUAUUGCACAAUGGGCGGAAGCCUGAUGCAGCAACGCCGCGUGCGGGAUGACGGCCUUCGGGUUGUAAACCGCUUUCGCCUGUGACGAAGCGUGAGUGACGGUAAUGGGUAAAGAAGCACCGGCUAACUACGUG